GGAAGGUAUUGAGGAUAGGAGAGUAUAUGGGUUGGGCACCACAGGGGGGAUAGGCAAAACAAUUUGGUUGAUAAGGCACAGAUCCUGAACUAACUUGUAAGGCUUGUCUGGUUUUAGGACAGGUAAAAUGGGGGAAUUGUAAGGAGAGUUUAUAGGCUUUAAAAGGCCAUGCUGUAGCAGGCGAGUGAUAACAGGUUUAAUCUUUUUAAAGCGUGCUGUGGGAUGGGAUAUUGGCAUUGAGUGGGGUAAGGGUGAUUAGGUUUUAAUGAGAUGGUAAGGGGUGCAUGAUUGGUAGCCAAGGAGGGAGUAGAGGUAUCUUAUACUUGUGGGUUAAGGUGGGGGGAUACAAGAGGAGGACGCAAAGGAGGCUUUGAAUUGGGAAGAAGGGUGGCAAUGAGAUACAGCUGUAGUCCAGGAAUAGUCAGGGAAGCAGAUAAUUUAGUUAAAGUGUCUCAGCCUAAUAAGGGAACUGGGCAGGUGGGGAUAAUGAAAAAGGAGUGCUUAAAAGAGUAUUGUCUAAGUUGGCACCAGAGUUGGGGAGUUUUAGGAGGUUUAGAAGCCUGGCCGUCAAUACCCACAACAGUUAUGGAGGCAAGGGAAACAGGUCCUUGAAAAGAAGAUAAUGUGGAGUGGGUAGCCUCCGUAUUGAUUAAGAAGGGGACGGGCUUACCUUCCACCGUGAGAGUUACCUGAAGCUCGGCGUCCGUGAUGGUCUAGGGGGCUUCCAAGGUGAUUGGGCAGUGUCAUCUUCAGCCGCUAAGCCGAGAAGAUCUGGGAAGGAGUCAGUCAGCCUUGGGCCAGAGUUCCAGGGGUUCUGGGAGUGGCUGUCAGGGUGAAAGUUCACCGGGGACCACCUGUGGUUCUGAAUUCAGGUACUUUCCUGCCCCAUUUCCCUCAGAGUGACCAUCAGCCUAGAGGCAGCAAAACUGUGCUGUUGGACAGAGGAGCAGUUGCCCGAGGUGACCCAGGUGAGCCAUGGAGGUUCGUGAGUCACUCAGCAGAGCUAGCAGAAAACUGUGAAAAUGGGUCUGAGCUAGGCAUGACAAUUCCCUCAAGGACGCACUGUUCAGAACUGCACGCAUCAGAAGGAAAACCAAAGACACAACAUGUUACGUGAAUUCCCCGAAAUGAGAAAGGCUGAGUAACUUCCUUGAGAAACUGCCACCUGGAAUUAGGAGUUAACCUAGUCUCCAUGGACACCCAAUUUCUUAAGGAAUUUGAGUUGAGCCACUCCUGGAUAGACAAAGGCGCCUCCCAGGCACUGAGGCUUGGUUUCCUCUUCCGGAAUCACUGAUUUGCCAUUGGAAUGUUAUGAGCUCAUGGAAGCAGGUGGCAGGGGAGGAGCGGAGGCCACUGGACAGCACAGCGGAGGUUGCAGUGAGCUGAGAUCACGCCAUUGCACUCCAGCCUAGGCAACAAGAGCGAAACUCCAUCUCAAGGAAACAAACAAACAAACUCCAAAACCAACCAACCAACCAAACAAAAAACCAAAGGAGUCAAAAAGUGGAGCCCAGUUCCUAGAGAAUUUGGAUCAUAAAGCUUUAGCUAAUAUGAGGAAACCCUGAUGCUCUUAUUUACCUCUGUGCAUCUCAGCAGUCCUUGUCAUGCUACUCCUGUUAAUUUCUCUUCAGAUGUAAAAACAGAUUUUCCAAGAUUUCCCCCACUUCUCUGCUUUCUUCUAAAAAACAUGUAUGUUUGGUGGUCUCCAGUUCUCUUUUGGAACUGUACUUCAGUUAAUCUUGUUCAUGGCAGAUCUGAGAGCUCCUGCCUGUUGCCAAUGACUGUGACUCGCUUGGCAGAAAGGAAAGCUGAUCUCAGAGCGCUUCAGCUGCACCACAGAUAAUGUGCUCAAGUUAAAAGCAAUGGAAAGGUCAUAACAUGUCAUAUCUGGAGCUGGAAUGUUUCACAAUUUAUUGAGGAUUACUUAUUUUAUUUUAUUUUUUUCUCCAUAAGCACAAAUAUUGCCAAGAAGAGUAUGAGCUACAAUUUUAUGUCAUGGAUAAAUUAUUUCUUCCACAUCGCAAUUAAUUUUUAUUUAAUUCAUUUUCAUUCAUUAAUUUAUUCAUUACACAAGUAUUUCUUGAGUUCCUACUAUGUGCCAAGCUCAACUGAGUUGGUUGAUGGAAAAUAUGCCAUCUUGUGCUUUUGGCCAUGGACUCUGUAAUUUAGUACUUUCUAGUUCUCUUCGCCCAUUUCAGUAGAUAGUCUCAUUUAAUUUUGUAUUUAUCACAAAGUGUAUUGUUAAAAUCUGAAUUCACUUAUAUGUUUCUAAAGCAAUAGUGAUAAUAGUUACUAUAAUCAUAAGAUGUCAAGCUGAUUUAAUAUAUUUAAAGAUCAACUUGCUAACCAAUUUCAAUGCCAACAUACUUUAAAUCACUGAUAUAAAAUGGUUGUAGGAGACAAGAAAAAUUUAAAAAGAGGGAUAGGAAACUUAGGUACACUGUGCCCAUCAGUGACCUUGGGAACCUGUUAUAAAAUCUUUUACAUUUUGAAAGGGUGAAAUGAGUGGUUGGAGAGAGACAUUUAAAAAAAAACAUAUGCAGGUAUAACAACACAUUUAGCAAACUAAUUGGGGCCUGUUUGCAGUAAUGAACCAACCUGUUGUCCAUCACGAAUGCACCAGUCAAUGUUGACAAUGGUGACAUUGUGUGUUCCCAGGACUCAGAAGGUUGUGAUGUGAAAAUGAUCCUCCAGUCAGCUCUGUUAGCCUUGAUUCCAAAUUGAACUCUUAGAGAAAUAUUUGGUUAGACCUGAGCUUUCAAAAUAAAGCAAAUGCACUUAAAAAAAUCAAAAUAACUUACAGACAAUGGUUUUACAGAACCAUGUGGAUUAAGUGGAUUUAACUGUAAUUUUAGACAAAAUAAGGUUAGUUUCAGGAGACUUCACAUCAGGAGUUUUAAAAAGUUAAACAAAGCACACCAAUGCAAUGGAAUUCCAUGCUGGCUGCCUGGUGGUAAAACGAAUAAGCAGCUUCCUAGAUCAGCACAGUAAUCAGUGGCCAUUAGGCUAAAAGGAAUCAAAAGAUACAGAGUUCACCUAGAGUUUUUAUCAGCGUUUAGUGGUUUUUGACUGAAAUUACCUUAUAUUAGUAAAAAAAAAAAAAAAAAAAAAAAAGAAAAAAGAAAGAAAAGAAAAAUCCAGAUUUGCAUUAGGUCUUCUAGUGGAAAAUCAAAGCAAGUGUUGAACAAUACAGGUCAGGAAGAAAUAAAACAAAAAAUCUACAAAACAAAAACAGGAUCACUUUGCCGAAAUAAUUCAGAUUAACCACAAAUACCAGCGUCGCUGGGCAAUUACUCCAUUCCAGGCAGUGGCGGUUGGAUCUUUAUGCAUGGCCAGAUUUCUACUGAGUUUAAUAUUUCUCUAACAGCCACGUAAAAUAGACAUUCUUCAGCUAGGAGUUUGAAGGCUCCUUAGUGUAGCCUCGCAAUUGCCCACCCAAUCCUUUCUACCUCUGGGAUGCACAUGACCAGCAGGCCCCGAAAGAUCCACCAUUUCAGCAGCAGUGGGGAGGCAGAGAUAAAAAUGGCUUAGCCUUCUUCUCAGAGGUUAACAGUGUGGCUGAGGACACAUCAGAGCAGUGUUGUGCGAAACAUGAUGAGGUAGAAGAGAGAAAGGGAAAACACAAAGACCAAGCUGGGAGACCAAACACUGUCAAGGUGGCAUUUUGCCAACAUGCCACAAAAGCAAGCACAGAGAGACGCCAGAGAGUGAGCAGUUGGCUGGAGUGGAGAAAACACCAGGAAAUGGAAGGAAAAUGAAUGCAGUGUACCAAGUGGCCUCCUUCAUUGCCUGCAUUUUGAAUGCAGUCAGGCUGCACAGUGGAAUGGAAAUCCCUGGCCAAGAUAUACCUCUUAAAAGAAAAUAAUCUCUUCCUCUGUGUGUAUGCCUGCGUCUACAUAUGUAUUGUGGGGACCAGAAUAUACCACCCCAAAAUAUAAAUGACUGUUGAACUGAAGGCAAUUAAGAAGAAGUAGGUACAGGAAAGAGCUCUCCUCUCCCUUUAUUUGCCUAAAAGUAGGACACAGGCUUAUAAGGACAAAAGGAAUCCUGCCCUGCCUUCUUCUCCUAUGGGAGAACAAAGGUUAACCACGGAAGACAACCUUGGGCACUGAUGACCCUGGAGAUGAUACCAGAGGCAUCUCCACGAGCAAGCUUCCCUAACUCGCCUUUAUUUACCAUUAUGUGUCUUCCUGCAAGCUGCUGCCCUGGAGAACCCAAGUCCUUUUCUUUGUCUUGUUACUUCCUUAAAAAUGUACUGUUCUUUGUUAAAAAUGCUAUACAAGCCAGAAUUCAAAGCCAUCCCUUUGAGGACUACUCAUUCCCUUGGCGUCUUUCAUGUACCUAUGAAAUAUACACAUUAAUAAACUUCCAUUUGUUUUUCUCUCA
rnacentral:lncRNA from 1 species